rnacentral:rRNA from 1 species
AUUGAACGCUGGCGGCAGGCCUAACACAUGCAAGUCGAACGAGUGGCGGACGGGUGAGUAAUGUCUGGGAAACCGCCUGAUGGAGGGGGAGAACUACUGGAAACGGUAGCUAAUACCGCAUACCAUCAGAGGAGCCCACAUGGGAUUAGGUUGUUGGUGGGGUAACGGCUCACCAAGGCGACGAUCCCUAGCUGGUCUGAGGGGAUGACCGGCCACAUUGGGACUGAGACACGGCCCAGAUUCCUACGGGAGGCAGCAGUGGGGAAUCUUGCACAAUGGGCGCAAGCCUGAUGCAGCAAUGCCGCGUGUGUGAAGAAGGCUUUCGGGUUGUAAAGUACUUUCAGCGGGGAGGCGUUACCCGAAGAAGAAGCACCGGCUAACUCCGUGCCAGCAGCCGCGGUAAUAC